GACCAUGUGGCCCAAUGGACAAGGCGUCUAUGACUUUGAAUCAGAUGAUUGAGGGUUUGAGUCCCUUCAUGGUUG
rnacentral:tRNA from 1 species